UCCCUUUAAAUUCCUUAUAGACUAUGAGGUUGAUAGGCUGGAGGUGUAAGUACAGCAAUGUAUUCAGCUGACCAGUACUAAUAAAUUGAUAGGUUUAAUAGUU
rnacentral:rRNA from 1 species